CAAACAGUAGGUCUAAAAACUUACACAAUUUUCAAAAGUAUGCGGAAGGAAGAAAACCUGAGCUCUGUUCAGUCCUGGCUCUGGAAGGUGAGGACAGCUGAGAAACAUUGGCAGAGCCCCCUCUUUGUGGGGAAAGUACCAACCAUCCCACUGCAGAUUGCUAUGGCGAUAUAAAUCAAGCACAAAAACAAGCCUUCCCAGACAUGUAAAGGUUUAUUUACCCACAUUAAUUCAACUGCAUACUUUCUCAUGAACAUUUUCAGGGUAUUGGUCGUGGAACAGAAUGAACUGAAAAAGAUUGCAUUUAUUAUGAAAAAUGUGGUGACAAAAUGACAGAUCCUGGAUGCCCAGUUCUCCUGGGGGAAUUGACUUGCAGAAUGUAGGUAUUCUUCAUCUUUUAGAAACCAAGGACCCUUCCAGCAAUAUUAUGCCUCUCAGUCCCUGAUGGGCUAAUUUACUUUUUUUGAAAAUAUAUCGCUACAGACUCUGCUGUACUAAUAUAGGACAAGUCUACACUGUCAGCUAACUUGGCUCCUUACUUUCUUGGGUCUGUGAUUUUCCAUGUUAGUUAAUUCCCAGGCCCUUUACAGGAGUGAAACAUUAUUUCCUUCAGGAGCGAGGCUUGGGAUUGGUUUGUUCCAGGAUUUCUGUGGGCAGCGGAAACAAGACUGAGAUAGAUUUGGCUCCUCUUGUCCUCCAGUGCUCCCCAGAAAGCUCUGCAUUCUCAACCGUGUGUUGUGUGUCCUCCAAUUUACAUCUUAAAAGCCUCUGGUUGGCUGUGGUGUAGUCCAUUACCAUCAGUAUGUUGAGUACAGAAAGGAUGUUCUCUACAACAAGAAUUGUGAAACAGCUCCAGUAGUGCCCCAAAGUUGACUGAAAUGCUCCUAAGUGAAGCUAUCAAUUCAGCAGGAGCUUCUCUAAGACCUUGGGGUUGCUCCCUGGUGUAUGCAUUUUUAAAUGGAAGACUUGCUUUGUAUAAAUUCUGUGCUGUUGCCUAAAUGAUAAACUUUCAAAAUACACUACUACAUUUCUAUGUUCUUCUUCAGCACUAUGUUAAGUCCUUUAAAUCACUACAUCUUGUCUGAAUGCCACUAGAAAAUCAUAAACUAGGCUUUCUGUUUCCUUAAUAGUUUUAACAGAGGUAUAGAU
rnacentral:lncRNA from 1 species